CGGGGGGGGCAAGCGUUGUUCGGAAUUACUGGGCGUAAAGGGCUCGUAGGCGGCCAACUAAGUCGGAUGUGAAAUCCCCAGGCUCAACUUGGGAACUGCAUCCGAUACUGGAUGGCUUGAAUUCGGGAGAGGGAUGCAGAAUUCCAGGUGUAGCGGUGAAAUGCGUAGAUAUCUGGAGGAAUACCGGUGGCGAAGGCGGCAUCCUGGACCGACAUUGACGCUGAGGAGCGAAAGCCAGGGGAGCAAACGGGAUUAGAUACCCCGGUAGUCCUGGCCCUAAACGAUGAAUGCUUGGUGUGACGGGUAUCGAUCCCUGUCGUGCCGAAGCUAACGCAUUAAGCAUUCCGCCUGGGGAGUACGGUCGCAAGGCUG
rnacentral:rRNA from 1 species